UACGGAGGGUGCGAGCGUUGUCCGGAAUCACUGGGCGUAAAGGGCGCGUAGGCGGCCUGAUAAGUAGGGGGUGAAAUCUUGCGGCUUAACCGCAAGGCUGCCUUCUAAACUGUCAGGCUAGAGCACAGUAGAGGCAGGUGGAAUUCCCGGUGUAGCGGUGGAAUGCGUAGAGAUCGGGAAGAACAUCGGUGGCGAAGGCGCUCUGCUGGACCAUAACUGACACUCAGGGACGAAAGCUAGGGGAGCGAAUGGG
rnacentral:rRNA from 1 species